CCUACGGGAGGCAGCAGUAGGGAAUAUUGGACAAUGGGCGCAAGCCUGAUCCAGCCAUGCCGCGUGAGUGAAGAAGGCCCUCGGGUUGUAAAGCUCUUUUGUCCGGAAAGAAAAGCAUCGGGUUAAUACCCCGGUGUUCUGACGGUACCGGAAGAAUAAGCACCGGCUAACUUCGUGCCAGCAGCCGCGGUAAUACGAAGGGUGCAAGCGUUACUCGGAAUUACUGGGCGUAAAGCGUGCGUGGGUGGUUCGUUAAGUCCGAUGUGAAAGCCCUGGGCUCAACCUGGGAAUGGCAUUGGAUACUGGCGGGCUAGAGUGCGGUAGAGGAUAGUGGAAUUCCUGGUGUAGCAGUGAAAUGCGUAGAGAUCAGGAGGAACAUCCGUGGCGAAGGCGACUGUCUGGACCAGCACUGACACUGAGGCACGAAAGCGUGGGGAGCAAACAGGAUUAGAUACCCUGGUAGUCCACGCCCUAAACGAUGCGAACUGGAUGUUGGGCUCAACUUGGAGCUCAGUAUCGAAGCUAACGCGUUAAGUUCGCCGCCUGGGGAGUACGGUCGCAAGACUGAAACUCAAAGGAAUUGACGG
rnacentral:rRNA from 1 species